rnacentral:rRNA from 1 species
GUAGGGUCCAAGCGUUAAUCGGGAAUUACUGGGGCGUAAAGCGUGCGCAGGCGGUUGUGCAAGACCGAUGUGAAAUCCCCGGGGCUUAACCUGGGGAAUUGCAUUGGUGACUGCACGGCUAGAGUGUGUCAGAGGGGGGUAGAAUUCCACGUGUAGCAGUGAAAUGCGUAGAGAUGUGGAGGAAUACCGAUGGCGAAGGCAGCCCCCUGGGAUAACACUGACGCUCAUGCACGAAAGCGUGGGGAGCAAACAGGAUUAGAUACCCUGGUAGUCCACGCCCUAAACGAUGUCAACUAGUUGUUGGGGAUUCAUUUCCUUAGUAACGUAGCUAACGCGUGAAGUUGACCGCCUGGGGAGUACGGUCGCAAAGAUUAA